UACAGAGGUCUCAAGCGUUGUUCGGAUUCAUUGGGCGUAAAGGGUGCGUAGGUGGCGCUGUAAGUCGGGUGUGAAAUUUCGGAGCUUAACUCCGAAACUGCAUUCGAUACUGCGGUGCUUGAGGACUGGAGAGGAGACUGGAAUUCAUGGUGUAGCAGUGAAAUGGCGUAGAGAUCAUGAGGAAGACCAGUGGCGAAGGCGGGUCUCUGGACAGUUCCUGACACUGAGGCACGAAGGCCAGGGGAGCAAACGGG
rnacentral:rRNA from 1 species